AGACUUAAAAAAAAAAAUCAAAAAGAACACG
rnacentral:sRNA from 1 species